AAUGGUAACCACAGAGAAGGACUGCCCUAUGAAAACAGAUGAGAGAAUUGAACCAUCACAGCCUGGAAGAAGUCUCAACAGAGAUACACAGUCAUCACCUAUAAAACUGAAAAGGGUCAAAAUGAAUGUUAAUUUGUUCACUAAGUCAUGAGGUAGAGGAGAGGACACCCUUUGAAAUUUAAGCAGAGCAAGUUGAAGACAAAAAUACAAUUUUCUGCAUGUAACUCCAGGAAGUUUCCCAGACCAAGAAUAUAAAUAGAUUCCAAAAAGUUUUGGGAAAAAAUACAAAUAAGCCAUAAAUGUUUUGUAAGAAAGUGUUAAGAAAUCCCAAGCUCUUACUGGUACUACUAGGGGACGAUGGGGCUCACUUACAGCAUGCUGCUUUGGGUUGCUGCUGGCACAGGGAUGCGGGCCUAGCUAAUAAUGGGUGUGACCUGGUGUGACAGUUGUUGGGAAGGUUACUCAUUACUUAAGUACAGUGAUGUGGUCAGUCUCUUUAAGCUACACUGAGAGAGUGCAAGCAGAAUAUUCAUAACUAGAUUUUCAGAGAAUACUAUGGUGUGUGGGGGAAGGGAGAAGCCAUUACAGUAACGUUGGAAUUAAAAUCCCAAACCAAAUACUUGCAUAGGGAACUGUUAGGCCUUCCCUCUCUGCACUCCUUUCUCCCAGCUCUGCUUCCUGUCAAUCAAUAGUUGAGGUGACUGAGACUCCGUGAGCCAGGAACUUGCCUAAGGCUGAUUGCCAGUUUGGGCUGAUCCUUUACUUUUCAACAGCUGAAUUGCAUCCAGGGCUGAAGACUAACUGGUACAUGUAACCUUCAAGAAUGAUACAGGCUUGAGAAACUUGCUUCAAAAAUUCCAUUCACAGAGUCCAUCCAUAUAUCAGCAGUAAGAAAUCUCGAAAGUGCCAAGAAGACAGUGGAAAGUAUUCUGGCUCAAAUUAAUUAAAGAAUCAACAGAGAAGGAGGAUGGGAGAGUUAUACAUCCCAGGUUUCUAGAAGCCACAAAGAUCUGAUACCAACUUGCCCAACUUGUUUAUCUUACUGAUGAAACAGGGAUGGUACCGAUCUCUCCACUUCUGUGGUUGCAGCAAAAAGGCAGCCUAAGGACGAUUUGCCCACAUUAAGUCUGCUCGUAACAACAACACAACAACAACACAACAACACAUAGAGACUGAAGAAUUUGAAGACUUAAGAGAAGAUUUAUGCUGCACAAAUGUUUCAUUUCUGCCUGACUGUGAUACCUGGGGAAUUCAAAGGCCAGUUUGAAAUGUACCACGUGGUAUUCCUCUGGCCACUUAUGUCUCUCAGUCCAAGUGGCAAAAAUGGAGACAAAGAGUUACCAUUUACUAAUUACAAUCCCAGUGAUAAAAAAAAAAAAAGAAAGAAGAAGAAGAAAGAAGAAAGAAAAGAAAGAAAGAAAGAAAGAAAGAAAGAAAGAAAGAAAGAAAGAAAGAAAGAAAGAAAAAGAAAGAAAAAGAAAUCCAGCAGGAGGAGCUCUAACAUGUCUCAGAGCUCAAAGUUUAAAAACAAAAAAGUUUAAUGCAAACACAGGAAAACAGAGAAGCAGUUGUGCCUUGCAAGCUGCCAUGUCGGUGGACAAACAUGUGACUAAAGUCCAAUUAAAUGGUCAGCGCGCAGGCAGGUGACGAUCCUGGCCGAGGCCGAAGCACCAACACCCCCCCAUUCCCCACCCCCAGUGCCACCUUCCAUGAACCUCCUUGUUCUGAUGCAGCUAAACUGGGAUUGGAGCCGUGGCAGUUAGCUCUUACAAAAGUGAGAGCAAAAGGCCGACUUUGAGACAGGUCUAGAAGCCAUUCUUUUCCUCCUACAGUGUCAUACUGUCUCUACUCGAGUCUGGGACACUGGCUCCAGCACUGCAUUUAAAAAUGGAUUUUUUUCUCAGCGGUUGGCAGCACUACAAAAAUUCCCAAACGCUCCCUCUCCUUCACUCAGUGGCUUGAUGGGUGCUUUUCUAAAAUGAGGGAAAUGCUCUCUUUGUAAAAAUUGGUGCUAAAAGGGCAAGGAAUCAUAUGUCCCCUGGGCCAUGUAAAGAGUCUGCAGAAAGAAUUAUAGCUUUCUAACACACACGCACACACACAUCAACUGGAAACAAAGAAUUUACUCAGGAAAACAUUGAGAAGUAUAUGAAUAUAACAGUUAUAGGAUUUGGGGGUAAGCCUUUCCAUUUUGAACAGUGUUGUGGGAGUGGAAUGGACGAGUGGGCAUACAGGAUGGUCAGAAUUACUUAACCUGAAGGAAACUUGCAACCAAUCCCUUUUAAUCUAUUGCCAAUAAGAAGUCAAACUUUUUGUUUUACACCUUAAUGGUAUGCCCACAUUUUAAAUUUUUAUACAAGCUUCUACAGAAACUUUAACUAGACCAAUUCAGACCAAAAAUCACUAAAUAAAGCUAGUCUAGACGGAAAAAUCUAUGAAAACCAUAUGUCUUUUAGGCAUCUGCCUUAAGAAAACUGCCAUCAUCCUGGAGAAAUAGUUCACAAAAUAUGCUUUCAGGAAAACACUGCUGCGAUGACCAUGGGGAGCUGUGCUUAAGAAGACAGUUGGGCUAGGAGAAAGUCAAGCCAAAAUGUUUACCAGUGAAAGGCUUACAUGUCUGCAUAUGUCUGUCUGUAAACAUCACCGAAAUGACAGGCAGAGGCCGACAUCAUUUCUAUUUCCGUUAUCUUAGAAGGAAUCAGAAAAGUUAGUUUUGUUCCUCCACAUUCCUGCAGAAUGUUAGACCAAGGGAUCUCAGAGCCACUCUGUCCUCACUCACAGAAAAUGGUUUUGGAUAAUGUUGUAUGUGGAUGAGGUCAAAGAACCAGAACAUUUUCUUCUGAUUAUUUCCUCAUCCUGCUGGCCUGCCAAACACAGGCAGGAGGCAGGUGUCCGACUAAGUGACUGAACGAUGACUGUUCCGUGUAGUUGGAUGGAGGGCCCUCCGGAGACAAAGGGACUCAGGACUAGGGUACAAAGUGAGAGUGCAAUGAGAAUGCAGUAAAGAGAAAUUGUUCUAAAACCCUGCUCUCCCGAUUAAAUAUAUUGCUCUCUGGAGACAGUGGUCAGAGCUACCUUUGUUAUUCUAGCUACAUAUUCUUACAUCUCAAAAUGCACAUUUAAUAAGUAACCUGAAAUCCAUAGGAAAAAAAAAGAGAAAAGCAAACUUUAAUGAUAAAAAUAAUAACAUUUUAACUGAAAGCUCAACAGUCUAUGGAGAUUAUGAAAGUAUUUAUAAAUUACCAAGAUACCUUGUAACCCUCAAGAAUAUUUUCUCCUUGCUCAACAGGCCAGGGGACUUUGGAACAACAAAGUAGCAAUGGCUAGUGGCAUGAAUAGGUCAUUUGGUCACCUAGAGGGUUGUGAAUGCAUGAUGUAUAUUGAAUAGCUACACGUGGAGAAAAGGUCCUGGGUUGGAGGAGUCAGGUAUAGUAUAAAAGAAGGAAAUUUAAAAGAUGUGGUCAGUCAUACACUAAAGUUUCAAGCACAGAGGAAAACACUAUUUCAACAUGCUUAUUCAAAGAUGAUGUGCUUUAAAAUGAGUUUUCAAUAUACUUAGUUUUCAAGUAAUAGGAUGCUAAGGGGGGUAAAUGCAGAGCGUUUGAAAUAUUAAAACAAAUCAAGCAAUCAUAGCAACACCCCUCACUACAGAUUCCUAAACUGAACGAUAGGGCAUUUAAGUUAAUCGAAGUCUGAUGAGUCACUGGGAUUUCUGGGGUCCACCAAUUUCAGUCCCAAGUGCUCUGAUACUACUUUUGUUGAGCUAAAACGACAAGUUUGCUUUCUUUCAAAUAAUAUGUGUAGCAUGGAUUUUAUUUUGACUUCGGAUCCAGAUAUGUGGAGGGAAAUUACUGCAGUGGUUUCUCUAGUUAACACAUUUACUAAUGUUUCCUUAAUUUUCCACCCCAAGAGGCAAUAAUUAAGGUAGAAUUUGCCUCACAUGAAGUUUUAUUAUUUUAGUUAUUAAAAUAUUUUCCAACACUACCACGAAGCAAAAAGAAGUUCUAGUUGAUUUAAAAAUAAGUAGAUGUUUUCCCCAGGUUUUAUAGCUUUUCCUCCGUAAAUGGUGGUCUAAAGGUGGAGCAGUGUAUAGACUUUCUGGCAAAGUCCCUUGAAUGUGAUGCUAAGGGUAGAUUUAUUUGAAGGAAAAAAUUCAUUCACUCUUAAAAUUGGCUUUGAGAACAAUCCUAAUAUAAACUUAAAAAAAUACACAUGAUACAGAAUAUAUCGUAUAUAAAUAUCCAUUCCCCAGUGAAAUAAUUUCAUUUUAGACUUUCUGGGCUACAAAGUCUUCCUCAUCUACCCUCCUAAGCGGUCUCAUUAUAGAUCAGUGUGAUAUAUACUGACCAAGAGAAGUGUCGAUAAUGCUGCCUCAUGCAAAUCUGAAACUAGAGAUAGGUAAUAUUUACAUGGUGGAGGCGACUGGUAUAUUUGAAUUGUAAAAUAAAAUCAUUUCCCAGAUCAUAUUCAAAACCACCCGAGGCCACCUUCUCACACCUCUCACUUCCUCUCGGUUCUCGAAACUGCCACAGAAGCCUGGGGAUGCCCAUGUGGCGGUGCAUCUAGUUUGUGGUUUUCCAGGCCUUCACAUCAUUCUCCCUCUCUGUUGCUUCCUCAGCCCUUCCACAAACAAAGCAGGGAUGGAAUGUAACUUAUUGCUAAACUUUGUAUCAACUUGCACAUUUACUGGGUUCCCAGUAUUCACACCUUAGCCUAUUUUUCAGCAUUUUAACUAAUCUCAAUAGGGGAAAAUGUUGACUUUAUGAGAUAUGGAACUCUCCUUGUGUCUGAACAAUGGAAGUCAAGAAGGCCCAGCAUUGCCACUGACUAUGAGUGAAGGAGGAUUUUGCCAUCUGCCAUUUUGAUUAACCAUUUUUUUUUUUUAAAUCCUUGGAUGGAAUGUGUCCUUUCUCAGUUCAUAUGAGCUGAUCGUUUUGGCUGGAAUGCAGGAAUGGACAUUUCCUAGUGUUUAUGGGAAUUGUUAAAAAAAUAAUUCCAGAAAUUAGAGCACUUGCUAUUUGUGGUUUUGCCUAUCAUGUGGCUCUGGUGCCUGAAAAGCAGCCAAAAGGAAAAGAAAGUACGACACCACACCAUGAGGCUGCCGAAUACCUUGUGGCUUUAGACUUUGCCCUAGGUAGAAAUUCUCCUAGUUUUGAUCAGAGUUGCCAAGUGAUCUAAACUUUCAUCGAAAUACAGGUAAUAUGGUGUCAAUACACCUGCAGAAUCUCUCAAACUCAAUGUCCUUCCAAUGCCAACCCCCCUUCCCCUGCACUUAAAAAUACUGGCCAGACCAAAAGUGUAAUAUUCUUUUGGCAACAGCAUUAAGUAAGCCAGAUGGAUUUCAUUUGGCAACUAAAGGGUGUAAAUAUGUGUUUAGAUUCAGAGGUUCCCCCCCCCCCCCCCCGACAAUGGUUACAAUAUGUUGGCUCUAGUAAGCUAAAGGAUUUCAGUGUUGGGCAUUUAAAAAUUGUACGUCUAAGCGGCAAUAAAGUUAUGACAAGCAGACAAAAGCCAUCAAACCCUCAGCUAAAUCCUCCUCUCCUUUCUCAUAUUGCUGGAGGUAAGCAUUUAGGGCCCGUUCUGAGUGAAAGAGGUGACAUUUACAAUUUCAUGUUUAAUUUCCUGGCUGUUUAUCGGCCAGAGCCACUCCAGUAAGCUGAAUUUCGCUUCUUUCACAGUAGCUGGUAAGUCACAGGGAAGGAAGAAGCGCCCAGCAGCUUCUCGGAGCAUGCUGCUUGGAUAAAAUUUGGAGGUGGAAGAGCCACGCAUCACAUUGUGCUAUGAAUCUCCAAAGUCACUAAAAAAUGUGCCAUCUAACCAACACUGUCUGCAUGUCAAGGUUUUCUCUGUAAAAUCAUUCUUUUCUUACAGCAAAGGAGACAAAAGAAGGCGACGAUGAAAGGGAAGUACUAGCCCGUGUCUGUCUGCUUACACUGGGCGGGAUUCACUUCUCUUCUCCUUUCCUUUCUCUUUGUUUCUUUUCCUUUUGAGCUGACAUCAACUUGUAUAUAGGAACAUUCAGCAGAUUCCAACUGGUGACAGUUUGCUGCUGACUGGCCACAGGAAGAAUAAUAAGCAUUUACUGUGCAUUUUUCACUGGUCAGUGGCUCUCUUGCCAGACUCCCGUCUUGGCUGUCUUCAUCAAUCAGCAUUUCCAGCUCCCUCACCGAAGGCGAAGGCUCGGGGCACAGAAACCAGAACAGCUUGAGCGGCUGAGAAAAGCUGGGCCGAAAACGACUCCCCCCGCCCCUCUCCUUCCUCUUCCUUUACAUUGGAAUGGAAAGAUAUAAUAAAAAUAAUUCAAAAAAACCCCAACACACCCGAACGCUCAUGGUCUCUGUCCAGUAGCAAGUGCUUUCAUUACAUCUGAGUAGGGUUAAA